rnacentral:rRNA from 1 species
CCUACGGGCGACAGCAGUGAGGAAUAUUGGUCAAUGGACGAGAGUCUGAACCAGCCAAGUAGCGUGAAGGAUGACUGCCCUAUGGGUUGUAAACUUCUUUUAUAUGGGAAUAAAAUGUUCCACGUGUGGGAUUUUGUAUGUAUCAUAUGAAUACGGAUCGGCUAACUCCGUGCCAGCAGCCGCGGUAAUACGGAGGGUCCGAGCGUUAUCCGGAUUUAUUGGGUUUAAAGGGAGCGUAGGUGGAUUAUUAAGUCAGUUGUGAAAGUUUGCGGCUCAACCGUAAAAUUGCAGUUGAAACUGGAAGUCUGGAGUACAGUAGAGGUGGGCGGAAUUCGUGGUGUAGCGGUGAAAUGCUUAGAGAUCACGAAGAACUCCGAUUGCGAAGGCAGCUCACUGGACUGCAACUGACACUGAGGCUCGAAAGUGUGGGUAUCAAACAGGAUUAGAUACCCCUGUAGUC